UACGGGGGGGGCAAGCGUUGUUCGGAAUUACUGGGCGUAAAGGGCUUGUAGGCGGCCAACUAAGUCAUACGUGAAAUCCCUCGGCUUAACCGGGGAACUGCGUCUGAUACUGGAUGGCUUGAGAUUGGGAGAGGGAUGCGGAAUUCCAGGUGUAGCGGUGAAAUGCGUAGAUAUCUGGAGGAACACCGGUGGCGAAGGCGGCAUCCUGGACCAACACUGACGCUGAGGAGCGAAAGCCAGGGGAGCAAACGGG
rnacentral:rRNA from 1 species